rnacentral:rRNA from 1 species
CCUACGGGAGGCAGCAGUAGGGAAUCUUCCACAAUGGGCGAAAGCCUGAUGGAGCAACGCCGCGUGGGUGAAGAAGGUCUUCGGAUCGUAAAACCCUGUUGUUAGAGAAGAAAGUGCGUGAGAGUAACUGUUCACGUUUCGACGGUAUCUAACCAGAAAGCCACGGCUAACUACGUGCCAGCAGCCGCGGUAAUACGUAGGUGGCAAGCGUUAUCCGGAUUUAUUGGGCGUAAAGGGAACGCAGGCGGUCUUUUAAGUCUGAUGUGAAAGCCUUCGGCUUAACCGGGGUAGCGCAUUGGAAACUGGGAGACGUGAGUGCAGAAGAGGAGAGUGGAACUCCAGGUGUAGCGGUGAAAUGCGUAGAUAUAUGGAAGAACACCAGUGGCGAAAGCGGCUCUCUGGUCUGUAACUGACGCUGAGGUUCGAAAGCGUGGGUAGCAAACAGGAUUAGAUACCCUGGUAGUC